rnacentral:rRNA from 1 species
UGGGGAAUUUUGCACAAUGGGGGAAACCCUGAUGCAGCGACGCCGCGUGAUUUAGAAGGCCUUCGGGUUGUAAAAAUCUUUUCUAUGGGAAGAAAAUGACAGUACCAUAGGAAUAAGGACCGGCUAAUUACGUGCCAGCCGCCGCGGUAAUACGUAAGGUCCGAGCGUUGUCCGGAAUCAUUGGGCGUAAAGGGUACGUAGGCGGGUAAGCAAGUUAGAAGUGAAAUCCUAUAGCUCAACUAUAGUAAGCUUUUAAAACUGCUCAUCUUGAGGUAUGGAAGGGAAAGUGGAAUUCAUAGUGUAGCGGUGAAAUGCGCAGAUAUUAGGAGGAAUACCGGUGGCGAAGGCGACUUUCUGGCCAUAACCUGACGCUGAGGUACGAAAGCGUGGGUAGCAAACAGG